UACGUAGGCAGCAAGCGUUGUUCGGAAUUACUGGGCGUAAAGCGUGUGUAGGCGGUUGGGUAAGUCUGGUGUGAAAUCUCCCGGCUCAACUGGGAGGGUGCGCCGGAAACUGCCUGGCUAGAGUCUCGGAGAGGAAGGCAGAAUUCCCGGUGUAGUGGUGAAAUGCGUAGAUAUCGGGAGGAACACCAGUGGCGAAGGCGACUUCCUGGCCUGUUCUUGACGCUGAGGCGCGAAAGCUAGGGUAGCAAACGGG
rnacentral:rRNA from 1 species